GACGAACGCUGGCGGCGUGCUUAACACAUGCAAGUCGAACGAUGAAGAAAAGCAUUGAAGCUUCGGCAGAAAUUCAUUUCGGAUUAGUGGCAGACGGGUGAGUAACGCGUGAGCAACCUACCUCUUACAAAGGGAUAGCCUCGGGAAACCGGGAUUAAUACCAUCUAACAUUGCGACGAAGCAUUUCGAUGCAAUCAAAGCUACGGCGGUAAGAGAUGGGCUCGCGUCCCAUUAACCAGAUGGUGAGGUAACGGCUCACCAUAGUCACGAUGGGUAACCGGCCGGGGAGGGGGAACGGUCACACUGGAACUGAGACACGGUCCAGACUCCUACGGGAGGGAGCAGUAGGGAAUAUUGCACAAUGGAGGGAACUCUGAUGCAGCGACGCCGCGUGAGUGAUGAAGGAAUUCGUUUCGUAAAACUCUGUGCGAUGGGAAGAAAAGGACGGUACCGUAGGAGAAAGCUCCGGCUAAAUACGUG
rnacentral:rRNA from 1 species